ACGUAUAUACACAUUAGUAGUGUAAAGGAGACAGGUUCCUCGUCUGUUUGACAGUGGAGAAGAAUAAGCUGCUGUUUUAAAAAACUCUAUUAAUACCGGUUUACGUAUCUUGCUACUCACUUGUUGUUACUGUCUAUAUAGGAUUAGAAGAGAUUAAAUUACGAUCAUAAUAAAAUAACAAGUUGAACGCGUGGAACAUGGGAAAAUGUGUAAACGAUUAAUAUAGUGACGUCGCUAUAUAGAUACAAUGACGAAUUGUAUGUAUGUAAAUAAGAGAGUGAAUGUAAAAAUUCAAGUAAUUAAUUGAACGGUUCGUGUCCGACUUGGAUAAUUAUUGGAAAGGAGGUGCCAUACGUUCGGCACUUGCGGAAAAACAGUUAACAGGAGGCUAAAGGCAUAAGAUCAGUUUGAAUUUGACAGUGAAUGAUUGAAAGAAGUGCAUGCUGUGUUUAUGAUGGAUCUGCUUAAUUUUGUGCAUGUUUAAUAGAUGAACAAUGUACAGCGGGAUAUAAACAUGGAGAAGAAACAUAGUUCGUGCAUGGUAGAAGAAGAGGAAGUAGAAGAUUCAGAAAAUAUAAUAAUAAACGAAGUCGAUGGAUUGCCUAGUUUACAUCCCAAUUUCGAGAGUCACACUGAAAAUUCGCAAGGCGUAAGAUCCAUUGAGGAUCUAGUACACGACGAGGACUUGCCCACAUCCGUUAUUGUUACAAAUGUAGACGCCAGAGUUUUCAAGAGCGACGAAUUGAAGUCCCAAAUAGAGGAGCUUUUCAAGAGAUUUGGGGAAGACGCUACGUUUCAAUACUUUAGAUCGUUUAGAAGAAUGAGAGUAAACUAUAAUAAUCCGAAUGCCGCAGCAAACGCGAGGAUACAGUUGCAUCAAGCUCAUUUUGGUGAAACUGACAUCAACUGUUAUUUUGCACAACCAGUUACCCCAAUAGACAUAGAAGACCAGCACCUGCAACCACCGGCACUCACAAAACAGUUCCUUAUUUCACCUCCUGCUUCACCGCCCAUCGGCUGGGAGCCUAGACAGGAGAACGAACCUCUCGUCAAUCACGAUUUACUGGCAGCUAUCGCAAAUUUAUCUGCAGGAGGCAGCCACGAAUUACAUCCUGGAGGCUCGGGGCAACCUGGUAUCGUUGUGCACGCUUGCGAGGCAUCGAAUCCUAUGCAGAACGUCCCACGCAUUCAACGUACGCGAUGCCCAGAACAUUUAUAAGCAACUUUGUUAGGAACGUUGUCCAUCCUUUGACAAUGAAGUAUUUAUCCAUCCAAGAAGCAAUUAGAGGCAUUACAAACAAUGAUAUUCAACAGUCGUUGUACCGCAAUAUCUGCGAAACUGGUACAUUAAUUUAUGGCCACAAGAUCAUAGGGAAUAAUUUGUAAAUGUCUUUUGCUCAGACGAAUAUAUAUAAAAAUAAUAUCUUACGCUGAUGUUACGAACAAGUAAAAAUACGUGAUAUAACGAGAUAAUUUAAAAAGACAAAAUCAUCGAAUAUUUAAUAAGGAUAAUAAAUUUCAGGAUAACUUUACACUGAUUCUUAUUCUCUUUUAACUUGAAAAAAAAAGAAAAAAAGAAUACAAUUUACUGUGUUAGAUGCUUAUGAUUGUAAAAAUGAUGUUAAAAGUAUCAAAGAGUAAAAGAGUAUUGAAAUUAGCGAUGUCUAAGUUUUACUCGAAAUAUCAAUGUUAAAAUGUACUUUUAACGAUGAUACAUGCAAUUUAUGAUGUUGGAAAAUGAGAUUAAAUUUCUGGUCUAAUAAUUAUCUGUGAACUCCGAAGAGGAUUAAAUUGGGGGGAAUACGAUUUGUUAGGAAGUGGGUGUGCAUGUUUAAGGGCAGUUAUAAACGUUGAUGUAUAUUUAAUGUACAUACAUGUGACUAUAAGGAUGCAAACGUAAAAAAAUUACUGUUCUUUGUUUGUUUCAAAUAAUGUAUAUUGGAAUUGAAAGAUGAACAAUCUUUUUAAAGUAAAAAAAUAGUCGAGGUAUAACUCGAUUUCAGGAGGAAUUCUUUUCAUCAGAAAGAUUUAUGUAUCGUUCACCAUGUUACUACUCGGUUGUGGAACAGUGAUUUUCGCGGAUACGUGUAUGGAAGUGUAUAUAACAAUUGAAUGAAAUGUAUUUCAUAUCGAUGUAAGAUUUAAUUUAUUAUAGAAAUAUUGAAAAAUUUAUAAACAUGUUAUAGAAAAUUACUUUUGUGUGAAUAAAUGUUGUCCAAAA